rnacentral:misc_RNA from 1 species
CAACAACAAGGGCUUGUUUGGACUUGCCAGUAAAAACAACAUCAUGGGCAGAGAAACAAAGCCACAGCAGAAAGAAAGCUACUGCUGAAGGGAUUCCUAGCUGGAAAGACCCGGGUAUACCGGAUCCUGUCCUAAAAACAAACACUUAACACAAGUGGGGAUCCAAAGUUUUGCUCCUUCUCCUUCUGUUUCUUUUACGUUAACCUUUGCAAUAUUCAACGCCAAAACACAAUCUCUCAAUUGGUUUUUGCUUUAAAGAUGCAACUCUAAAAUAGAAGGGGAAAAAAAUUCUCAAAAACAAAGAGAAUAAGGCAAUAGAAAAUUGGACAGAAGCUUCUUUAAUUCAGGCAAUACAUCUAAAAAUGUCCCCAUCUAUGUCUUUCGUCCCUCCCUAAUUCUCUCCUCUUCUCUGCUCUCAUUCAUAGCUCAUCGCUUCAUAGAAAGAGAAAGAAAGAUGUUUUAGAUGGAAAAUGGAAAAAAAAUCACCAAAAUAAGUGUCUAACAAAUUUUUAAAUAUAUAUCUAUAUAUAUUACUAUAUAGUACUAAGUUUCUAAACCCCAAUACAAUGAUAGUGUUGAAGAAGCCUGUUGGCUUCCCUAAGGCCACUAAAAUAAGCACCAUGAGUGGUAGAAUAGUGGGUUCUGUGUGUUGCCUCCCCUGCAAAUAGAAUUUGAAGUGGAGGACACCCAGCAGACUCAUAAUUACCAAUCUUUGCGGGCAAUGGCUCUGCUAAUGAAUCCAUAUCAUCUCCACUCGAUCCGACUGCUAUAUAACUGUAAGAUCCCAAGAACAGAGGAUCAUUCCCCCAUUUGCUCUUCAAAACCUUGCUGAAUUUAACUUCAUUUGCAUUUGAGCUCCCAUUGCAAAAUUCAUGAGAAUUACCAUACACUUGUUUCUGGGGUGCUUGUAAAAAGCUAGAUAUUGUUGUUGAAACCGCAUUAAUAACAUCUUCAUCACUCAGAGAUUCUAGCUCAAUAGCUUCCUUCCCUGCAAACCAAGAUAGUAACACACUAGAGUUCUUGUAAAUUGGACAUAUAGAAGCUGUCCUUCUCAUCCACCAGGGUAUCUUUUUAUGCCUCAAUUCCGAGUCUGUCCGAUGAAAAGCCAUUUGCAAGAAAGGAAACUUGUUGCCAACCUCUUCAUGGCUUGAACUCAGUUGCAAAAAUAGCUUAUUAACAACACCAUAUCCUAAUCUUGAUAUAGCCUCAGUCUUGAAAGAUGGCAAAGGAGGACCGAACAUACCUGAAGCUUGACUAAUUCCAGCUUUAAGCACCCCCAGUGAUACUGUGACCACAACAUGGUCAGCACACAUAACCGAUCCAUCGCAGAAAUGUAGUGUCACUGGCCUAUUAGCAUACCCAUUUUCCGUUGAUUGUUGAGCUUCAGGUUGCCAUUCGAUUCUUGCUACCUUCCGGCCUAAUUGGAUUAGACCCUUAGGUAGAACAGAAGCUAGUGAUUCAAUUAUGCUCAAGUAGCCUUUGGCAAUAGUGAUUUCCUCACCUGGAAACAUCUGGUACUCACUUUCUGCAUCAAAAUCUAGAGUCAAGAGAUCACCUGCCGAAGUAUAAGUCCUUUGAACAUUUUCAUGCAUUGCAAAAUUGGCUUCCUCGAGCAACUUUCUGCUCCAAUUACCAUACCCUUUGAUCUCUUCUUCUUCAUGUUUCACAGAAUCCCAAUAAGCAUCCAAACCUUGUCUAAGAAAAGCACCAACACUCAGCUUACCAGAAGUACCACCAUUGCUUUUGCAAAUCUUAUAAGCUUUAGAGGCAAGCUUGUAGAAGUCAAGUCCUCCAGUGUUUUUUUCACUCCCUUCAAUCAAUUUCCCCUGAGCAAAAUCCAUCAGGUUCUUGAAAAGAGUAGAUAUGGACUCAACAAGAGAUGGAUUGAGCUCAAACCCACCUUCAGCGAUAGUCUUUGGCUCGUCCAAGAAUCCAUCCAUGCACUCCCACGGCUGCUCAGACUCUAGGGAAUUGAUUUCUUGAGCAAUUUUAUGAACUGGGCUGCCUCCAAUGCCAUGGAUCCAUGUUGCUCCCAUCUCUAUCCGGUCACCCCCAAAUUCAGAAGUGUUAAUUCUGCCACCAAUUCUAGUUCCACCUUCCACUACACAGAGCUCAAACAAAUCUUUUGAGCUAGAGGAAGUGUAGAGCUUGUUUGCAGCCGUAAGACCUGCCAUUCCUGCUCCAAUAAUUACAAUUCUUGGCUUCUUGGCCACCAUUGUAGCUAGGCAGCAAGAUGUAAUAGCAAACAGAAAAGAAAAUACGUCAACAAACAGAGGAAAAAGAGAGAAAAAAGAGUGAAGAUGAAUCUGUGAGGUGAUAUUGAAUUUACUGAUAAGAAAUUUAUAAGGGAGAGGGGGUGUGUGUGAGGUCUUUUUAGGCUUUGGCUGCUUCUGUUUGCAUAAAUUUAUUUAUUUAUUUUUCUCUAAUAAAGACAGGGCACUACUUUUCUUGAAUUCUACUAGUAAUUUUAGCCGAUACCCCAAAAAAAAAAAAUCAUUCUCUCUUAAAUAAUCUCCUCCCUAGUCUUUCUCAAGUCUCAGCCACACUUCCAUUUAUAUGCAAGUCCCAAUUAAUGUAACUGUGAAAGCAAUUUUUGC